CACUUUGUGAUUCGUGACUGGGGUGAAGUCGUAACAAGGUAACCGUAGGGGAACCUGCGGUUGGAUCACCUCCUUACCUUAAAGAA
rnacentral:rRNA from 1 species